UUUAAAUUCUUUAUGGCUAUGAUUGAGGAAAACUACUAAUGUUAGCUUCGGGGUAAAGCGCAGCUUAUGCUGUAAAUGUCUUCUCAUUGUUGAUACUAAUGUUUUUUUUCUUUUUCUUAAUGUAUUAACUGUUUGUGUAUUAGAUGCUUUGGAUUAAUGGCAGGGGCAUCAAGAAUGCCAAUUAUGUGCUUCCAGUUUAGUUUUUUGGUUGUCGAUUAACUGAUUUAUUGGUGGAGACCGCGACAGAGCAGGAUGGCUCAGUCAGUAAUAUCACCGUGCAGCCCACAGUUUUUCAGGCAUUGACACUAGCAGUACGUAAAGCGAGUCAAUCUAUAUGCAGUUAAGAAGAAAACGAUAAUAGAAGAUCCUUGCUUU